UACGGAGGGGGCUAGCGUUGUUCGGAAUUACUGGGCGUAAAGGGCGCGUAGGCGGCGAUUCAAGGCAGGCGUGAAAGGCCUGGGCUCAACCCGGGAACUGCGUUUGAUACUGGAUUGCUGGAGUCCGGGAGAGGAUGGCGGAAUUCCCAGUGUAGAGGUGAAAUUCGUAGAUAUUGGGAAGAACACCGGUGGCGAAGGCGGCCAUCUGGACCGGAACUGACGCUGAGGCGCGAAAGCUAGGGGAGCAAGCAGG
rnacentral:rRNA from 1 species